AACGAACGCUGGCGGCAUGCCUAACACAUGCAAGUCGAACGAGACCGUCGGGUCUAGUGGCGCACGGGUGCGUAACGCGUGGGAACCUGCCCUUAGGUUCGGAAUAACUCCCCGAAAGGGGUGCUAAUACCGGAUAAUGUCUUCGGACCAAAGAUUUAUCGCCUUUGGAUGGGCCGGCGUCGGAUUAGCUAGUUGGUAGGGUAAAAGCCUACCAAGGCGACGAUCGAUAGCUGGUCUGAGAGGGUGAUCAGCCACACUGGGACUGAGACACGGCCCAGACCCCGACUGGAGGGAGAGGGGGGGAGGGGGAAAUAAUGACCGGGGGCCAGAUGCAGCAACACCACGGGCGGGAAGGUGGUGAACGGGUUGGGGACUUAAAGCUCUUUUACCGGAGCGUGAAUGACGGGAACGGGUAAAAAAGCCCCGGCUAACUACGUG
rnacentral:rRNA from 1 species